UACGUAGGGUGCAAGCGUUGUCCGGAAUUAUUGGGCGUAAAGAGCUCGUAGGCGGUUUGUUGCGUCGGCUGUGAAAUCCCGAGACUCAACCUCGGGUCUGCAGUCGAUACGAGCAAACUAGAGUGUUGCAGGGGAGACUGGAAUUCCUGGUGUAGCGGUGAAAUGCGCAGAUAUCAGGAGGAACACCGGUGGCGAAGGCGGGUCUCUGGGCAACAACUGACGCUGAGGAGCGAAAGCGUGGGGAGCGAACAGG
rnacentral:rRNA from 1 species